CCUACGGGAGGCAGCAGUGAGGAAUAUUGGUCAAUGGGCGCGAGCCUGAACCAGCCAAGUAGCGUGAAGGAUGACUGCCCUAUGGGUUGUAAACUUCUUUUAUAAGGGAAUAAAGUGAGGUACGUGUACCCUUUUGUAUGUAUUUUAUGAAUAAGGAUCGGCUAACUCCGUGCCAGCAGCCGCGGUAAUACGGAGGAUCCGAGCGUUAUCCGGAUUUAUUGGGUUUAAAGGGAGCGUAGGUGGGUUGUUAAGUCAGUUGUGAAAGUUUGCGGCUCAACCGUAAAAUUGCAAUUGAUACUGGCAGCCUUGAGUACAGUAGAGGUAGGCGGAAUUCGUGGUGUAGCGGUGAAAUGCUUAGAUAUCACGAAGAACUCCGAUUGCGAAGGCAGCCUACUGGACUGCAACUGACGCUGAUGCUCGAAAGUGUGGGUAUCAAACAGGAUUAGAUACCCCAGUAGUC
rnacentral:rRNA from 1 species